UUUUUUUUUUUUUUUUUUUUGGUGUCUCAAUUAAGAUUUUUUUAUGUAUGUAAAUGUUUUGCCUCUAUGCAUGUAUAUGUGUCACAUGUCUUGUGCUUACUGCAAGACAUCUUUCCCUCCCAGUCUCCCUCCCUCCCCCUUUCUAGACCUCCCUUCCAAUUGGGAGUUCAGAAGUAACUAAAGUGCGCACCACCUGUAAUAUCUACUUAAUGCCACCAGGGUGUCUCAUGGUGCUGUCUGAUCUGUGUUCUUAUCCCUGGCCUUAGCUCAGAGCCCAGCUCCAAGACAGUGAAAUGCUUGACUUCCUGGCUUUACAGUGUGCAGACAGUUCAGCUCAGGAAAACCUUUGCCCUUUUUUUUGACCAGGUAAUUCAGAGGUUGGACUUGCCAGCCAGCCACUCAGUAACUAGGCAGCAGUCCUAUAAAAGCCAAAGAAGGGGCUGGCAAGAUGGCUCAGUGGUUAAGAACACUGACUGCGUUCUGAGUUCAAUUACCAGCAACCACAUGGUGGCUCACAGCCAUCUACAAUGGGAUCUAUUGCACUCUUCUGGCAUGCAGGUGUACAUGGAGACAGAGCACUCAUAUACAUGAAUAUUUAAAAAAAAAAAGCCAAAGAACCUGCCAGUGUUUCAAAGAGCAGCUAAAGAGAAGCGGCUAUACAUUGGAGAGAGCAAAUAUACAUAGAGACCUUGAAGGGAAUCUUCUAAGGCAGGGAAGAAGCAGAGACUUGUAUCCACUGAACCAAAAUACAAGCGCAUACUAUGUCCAAGUAGCUACCUCUAUGUGAGGAAAGGAUAGAAAACAUUCAAGACAUCAUAUGGGCUUACGAUCUACAGAUUCCAACCAGUAGCAGUGGCUGACUCCUACACAGACGACUGGGAACUGCAAACAGGCUGGGGUCACCUCAGUGACAUCUGACGCUGUCCAACCAGAAGUCUGACUUGUGUGUGCGUGUGCUGCAGGAAUUGAAAAAUGUACUAAAAGACUAAAAUAUUUUGCCUCU
rnacentral:lncRNA from 1 species